AAUAAACAGACGUCCCACGUAAUUGACAAGUCGUUCUGGAUUUUUCCACAGUUUACGUAGAUAUGAUCAGCUGUUAAUUGUCAAAAAUAUGCCGCACGUUUACCUGUAGUUUUUACCGGUAAUAUUAAUUGGAUCACUCAAAAAAUCAGCAGAACAAUGGACAUGUGGCUACUUUCUACCCUACAUUUAUUGGAAAUUUUAAAUUUUUACUUGCCUUCCAGUGAUUCAGUGUAUAAUAUUGUAUUCUUAUUACCCAUUAAUUAAUAUUCAAUAAAAUUUUGAACUAAA